rnacentral:rRNA from 1 species
UACGAAGGGGGCUAGCGUUGCUCGGAAUCACUGGGCGUAAAGGGCGCGUAGGCGGAUCUUUAAGUCGGGGGUGAAAUCCUGAGGCUCAACCUCAGAAUUGCCUUCGAUACUGGAGAUCUUGAGUCCGGAAGAGGUAAGUGGAACUGCGAGUGUAGAGGUGAAAUUCGUAGAUAUUCGCAAGAACACCAGUGGCGAAGGCGGCUUACUGGUCCGGUUCUGACGCUGAGGCGCGAAAGCGUGGGGAGCAAACAGG